GGCCGCAGAGGACCUGUCGCUCUCUAUUUGAAGACUCCUCUGAGCAGAUUCCUUCUCUUUGAACCUCUAGAACUGGACCGUAGGUUCUGCAACAGUUCCAGGCAUCUUUUAGUCCUUUCCCCUCCUUUUUUUUGUCAAGAGAAUUUUUCCCCACUCUCUUUCUUUUUCUCUCUCUCUUGAUUUUUUUGUCAGUGCUUUAGUGUCCUCUUGUUUUCAUUUUUCAAGUACCAUUUAAACGUCUUUGGUCCACAAGUGUUUUUCUUUUCCCUGUAACAAACAAAUCCCUUGUCUGCAAAAGAACAAAAAUUCUCCUGGACGAAGACACAAUCUAGCUGGAAGUGACGCAUGUUCCAUGCCCACUUUGAAUAUUCCCCGUGCGAGAAUGAGGUCGGCAUUACGAGCUUGUUGGACAGCAAUGCUUUCACUAUUCACAUCCUGCCGCUGGGUGAGACGACAAAAUCCAAGCGACAGGUGCAUUUGUAAUAUAUUUCGUUCGUUAAAUUAAAAAGGAAUCAUGGUUAGGGCUAUGGAACCGCACUGAAGACCCUUUUCACUCUUGGUAUUGGACAACUAAUUGUGAUAAAGCUGUUCAUAAAUAUGUGGUA
ensembl:lncRNA